rnacentral:rRNA from 1 species
CUACGGGUUGCUGCAGUGGGGAAUAUUGCACAAUGGGCGCAAGCCUGAUGCAGCCAUGCCGCGUGUAUGAAGAAGGCCUUCGGGUUGUAAAGUACUUUCAGCGGGGAGGAAGGGAGUAAAGUUAAUACCUUUGCUCAUUGACGUUACCCGCAGAAGAAGCACCGGCUAACUCCGUGCCAGCAGCCGCGGUAAUACGGAGGGUGCAAGCGUUAAUCGGACUUACUGGGCGUAAAGCGCACGCAGGCGGUUUGUUAAGUCAGAUGUGAAAUCCCCGGGCUCAACCUGGGAACUGCAGCUGAUACUGGCAAGCUCGAGUCUCGUAGAGGGGGGUAGAAUUCCAGGUGUAGCGGUGAAAUGCGUAGAGAUCUGGAGGAAUACCGGUGGCGAAGGCGGCCCCCUGGACGAAGACUGACGCUCAGGUGCGAAAGCGUGGGGGGCAAACAGGAUUAGAUACCCCUGUAGUC